rnacentral:rRNA from 1 species
UGGGGAAUUUUGGACAAUGGGGGCAACCCUGAUCCAGCCAUGCCGCGUGCGGGAAGAAGGCCUUCGGGUUGUAAACCGCUUUUAGUCGGGAAGAAAAGGCAAGGGUUAACACCUCUUGUUCUUGACGGUACCGGCGGAAUAAGCACCGGCUAACUACGUGCCAGCAGCCGCGGUAAUACGUAGGGUGCGAGCGUUAAUCGGAAUUACUGGGCGUAAAGCGUGCGCAGGCGGUUUGUUAAGUCUGAUGUGAAAGCCCUGGGCUCAACCUGGGAAUGGCAUUGGAAACUGGGCAGCUAGAGUGCGGUAGAGGGUAGUGGAAUUCCCGGUGUAGCAGUGAAAUGCGUAGAGAUCGGGAGGAACAUCUGUGGCGAAGGCGACUGCCUGGACCAGCACUGACACUGAGGCACGAAAGCGUGGGGAGCAAACA